rnacentral:rRNA from 1 species
CCUACGGGUGGCAGCAGUGGGGAAUAUUGGACAAUGGGCGAAAGCCUGAUCCAGCCAUGCCGCGUGUGUGAAGAAGGCCUUCGGGUUGUAAAGCACUUUCAGUGGGGAAGAAAGUCUUGGGGCUAAUACCCUCGAGGAAGGACAUCACCCACAGAAGAAGCACCGGCUAACUCCGUGCCAGCAGCCGCGGUAAUACGGAGGGUGCGAGCGUUAAUCGGAAUUACUGGGCGUAAAGCGCGCGUAGGCGGUCUGAUAAGCCGGUUGUGAAAGCCCCGGGCUCAACCUGGGAACGGCAUCCGGAACUGUCAGGCUAGAGUGCAGGAGAGGAAGGUAGAAUUCCCGGUGUAGCGGUGAAAUGCGUAGAGAUCGGGAGGAAUACCAGUGGCGAAGGCGGCCUUCUGGACUGACACUGACGCUGAGGUGCGAAAGCGUGGGUAGCAAACAGGAUUAGAUACCCGAGUAGUC